rnacentral:rRNA from 1 species
AGAGUUUGAUCCCUGGCUCAGAUUGAACGCUGGCGGCAGGCCUAACACAUGCAAGUCGAGCGGUAGAGAGGUGCUUGCACCUCUUGAGAGCGGCGGACGGGUGAGUAAUGCCUAGGAAUCUGCCUGGUAGUGGGGGAUAACGCUCGGAAACGGACGCUAAUACCGCAUACGUCCUACGGGAGAAAGCAGGGGACCUUCGGGCCUUGCGCUAUCAGAUGAGCCUAGGUCGGAUUAGCUAGUUGGUGAGGUAAUGGCUCACCAAGGCGACGACGGGUAGCCGGCCUGAGAGGGUGACCGGCCACACUGGGACUGAGACACGGCCCAGACUCCUACGGGAGGCAGCAGUGGGGAAUAUUGCGCAAUGGGCGAAAGCCUGACGCAGCGACGCCGCGUGAGGGAUGAAGGCCUUCCGGUUGUAAACCUCUUUCAGCAGGGAAGAAGCGAAUGUGACGGUACCUGCAGAAGAAGCACCGGCUAACUACGUGCCAGCAGCCGCGGUAAUACGUAGGGUGCAAGCGUUGUCCGGAAUUAUUGGGCGUAAAGAGCUCGUAGGCGGUUUGUCGCGUCUGCUGUGAAAACGCGGGGCUCAACUCCGCGCCUGCAGUGGGUACGGGCAGACUAGAGUGCAGUAGGGGAGACUGGAAUUCCUGGUGUAGCGGUGGAAUGCGCAGAUAUCAGGAGGAACACCGGUGGCGAAGGCGGGUCUCUGGGCUGUAACUGACGCUGAGGAGCGAAAGCGUGGGUAGCGAACAGGAUUAGAUACCCUGGUAGUCCACGCCGUAAACGUUGGGCGCUAGGUGUGGGGCUCAUUCCACGAGUUCCGUGCCGCAGCAAAACGCAUUAAGCGCCCCGCCUGGGGAGUACGGCCGCAAGGCUAAAACUCAAAGGAAUUGACGGGGCCCCGCACAAGCGGCGGAGCAUGCGGAUUAAUUCGAUGCAACGCGAAGAACCUUACCAAGGCUUGACAUGCAGGGUAAUCCGGCAGAGAUGUCGGGUCCGCAAGGGAUCUUGCACAGGUGGUGCAUGGUUGUCGUCAGCUCGUGUCGUGAGAUGUUGGGUUAAGUCCCGCAACGAGCGCAACCCUUUUCCUUAUUUGCCAGCGGGUAAUGCCGGGAACUUUAAGGAUACUGCCAGUGACAAACUGGAGGAAGGCGGGGACGACGUCAAGUCAUCAUGGCCCUUACGGCCAGGGCUACACACGUGCUACAAUGGUCGGUACAAAGGGUUGCUACCUCGCGAGAGGAUGCUAAUCUCAAAAAGCCGAUCGUAGUCCGGAUCGCAGUCUGCAACUCGACUGCGUGAAGUCGGAAUCGCUAGUAAUCGCGGAUCAGAAUGCCGCGGUGAAUACGUUCCCGGGCCUUGUACACACCGCCCGUCACACCAUGGGAGUUUGUUGCACCAGAAGUAGGUAGUCUAACCGCAAGGAGGACGCUUACCACGGUGUGGCCGAUGACUGGGGUGAAGUCGUAACAAGGUAGCCGUA